GGCUGCAUGGUGGUGCAGUUGGUAGCUCAAUUGCUUGUCAAAAAAAAGGUCCCUGGUUCGAAUCCUGGCGUGGAGUCU